rnacentral:rRNA from 1 species
CUGAGAGGAUGACCAGCCACACUGGAACUGAGACACGGUCCAGACUCCUACGGGAGGCAGCAGUGGGGAAUAUUGCACAAUGGGCGCAAGCCUGAUGCAGCCAUGCCGCGUGUAUGAAGAAGGCCUUCGGGUUGUAAAGUACUUUCAGCGGGGAGGAAGGGAGUAAAGUUAAUACCUUUGCUCAUUGACGUUACCCGCAGAAGAAGCACCGGCUAACUCCGUGCCAGCAGCCGCGGUAAUACGGAGGGUGCAAGCGUUAAUCGGAAUUACUGGGCGUAAAGCGCACGCAGGCGGUUUGUUAAGUCAGAUGUGAAAUCCCCGGGCUCAACCUGGGAACUGCAUCUGAUACUGGCAAGCUUGAGUCUC